rnacentral:rRNA from 1 species
CCUACGGGAGGCAGCAGUGAGGAAUAUUGGUCAAUGGUCGGGAUACUGAACCAGCCAAGCCGCGUGAGGGAGGAAGGUACAGAGUAUCGUAAACCUCUUUUGUCAGGGAACAAAGGCCGGGACGUGUCCCCGGAUGAGUGUACCUGAAGAAAAAGCAUCGGCUAACUCCGUGCCAGCAGCCGCGGUAAUACGGAGGAUUCGAGCGUUAUCCGGAUUUAUUGGGUUUAAAGGGUGCGCGGGCGGUCUGUUAAGUCUGCGGUAAAAGCCCGGGGCUCAACCCCGGCCCGCCGUUGAAACUGGUAGUCUCGAGUUGGAGAGAAGUAUGCGGAAUGCGCGGUGUAGCGGUGAAAUGCAGAGAUAUCGCGAAGAACUCCGAUUGCGAAGGCAGCAUGCCGGCUCCACACUGACGCUGAGGCACGAAAGCGUGGGUAUCGAACAGGAUUAGAUACCCCGGUAGUC